rnacentral:rRNA from 1 species
UACGUAGGGUGCAAGCGUUAAUCGGAAUUACUGGGCGUAAAGCGUGCGCAGGCGGUUAUGUAAGACAGUUGUGAAAUCCCCGGGCUCAACCUUGGAACUGCAUCUGUGACUGCAUAGCUAGAGUACGGUAGAGGGGGAUGGAAUUCCGCGUGUAGCAGUGAAAUGCGUAGAUAUGCGGAGGAACACCGAUGGCGAAGGCAAUCCCCUGGACCUGUACUGACGCUCAUGCACGAAAGCGUGGGGAGCAAACAGG